GACGAAAGACGAGCGGACACGGCUAACAGACGGAGACGGGCUAAUGCACCUCACCCUCAGCAAGCACGACGCAGCGAGUCGCGCAUAGCGACGCGCGGCGGUCGCGAGACCGACCGAAAAGC